rnacentral:rRNA from 1 species
CCUACGGGAGGCAGCAGUGGGGAAUAUUGGACAAUGGGGGCAACCCUGAUCCAGCCAUGCCGCGUGUGUGAAGAAGGCCCUCGGGUUGUAAAGCACUUUCAGUGAGGAAGAACGCCUGGUGGUUAAUACCCAUCAGGAAAGACAUCACUCACAGAAGAAGCACCGGCUAACUCCGUGCCAGCAGCCGCGGUAAUACGGAGGGUGCGAGCGUUAAUCGGAAUUACUGGGCGUAAAGCGCGCGUAGGUGGCUUGAUAAGCCGGUUGUGAAAGCCCCGGGCUCAACCUGGGAACGGCAUCCGGAACUGUCAAGCUAGAGUGCAGGAGAGGAAGGUAGAAUUCCCGGGGUAGCGGUGAAAUGCGUAGAGAUCGGGAGGAAUACCAGUGGCGAAGGCGGCCUUCUGGACUGACACUGACACUGAGGUGCGAAAGCGUGGGUAGCAAACAGGAUUAGAUACCCCGGUAGUC